rnacentral:rRNA from 1 species
UACGGAGGGUGCAAGCGUUAUUCGGAAUGACUGGGCGUAAAGGGUGUGUAGGCGGUAUGUUAAGCUUGCUGUUAAAUUCUCCGGCCUAACUGGAGACAUGCAGUGAGAACUGGCGUUCUUGAGGGUGAGAGAGAGAAGUGGAAUUCCCGGAGUAGCGGUAAAAUGCGUAGAUCUCGGGAGGAACACCGAUGGCGAAGGCAGCUUCUUGGCUCAUACCUGACGCUGAAACACGAAAGCGUGGGGAGCAAACAGG